UUUGGUGCCUAUGUCGACGGGGCCCACCUCUUCCCAUUCCGAACAGAGUAGUUAAGCCCGUCAGAGCUAAUGGUAGUCGGACUAAAUCCCGCGAGAGUAAGUCGGUGCCAGUU
rnacentral:rRNA from 1 species